rnacentral:tRNA from 1 species
GGGGAUGUGCUGGAACUGGCAGACAGGCAUGACUUAGGAUCAUGUGCCGCAAGGCGUAAGGGUUCAAGUCCCUUCAUCCCCA